UACGGGGGGGGCAAGCGUUGUUCGGAAUUACUGGGCGUAAAGGGCGCGUAGGCGGCCUACUAAGUCGGACGUGAAAUCCCUCGGCUCAACCGAGGAACUGCGUCCGAUACUGGCAGGCUGGAAUCCGGGAGAGGGAUGUGGAAUUCCAGGUGUAGCGGUGAAAUGCGUAGAUAUCUGGAGGAACACCGGUGGCGAAGGCGGCAUUCUGGACCGAAACUGACGCUGAGGCGCGAAAGCCAGGGGAGCAAACGGG
rnacentral:rRNA from 1 species